rnacentral:rRNA from 1 species
AUGCAAAGAACUUUGAAAAGAGAGUUAAAGAGUACCUGAAAUUGCUGAAAGGGAAGCGAAGGAAACCAGUGUUUGCUUAGUCAUAUUUCCCUGGCCGCUUGCGGCUUGGGCGCUGUGUCUGGCUUGAGUUGUGCUUGGUUACCGGCCUUGGAAGAGCGCUGAAGGAGUUGACUUCGGUUGCUAGCAUUGGGCGGUGACUGAGCAGGACGAAAUGGUUUUCUUUACCCCGUCUUGAAACACGGACCAAGGAGUCUAACAUAUGUGCGAGUACAGGGGUGGCAAACCCCCGUGCGCAAUGAAAGUGACAGUGGUUGGAUAUUUGCACAAUCCGCCGGCCUCAAUCCCUCGGGAGAACGGUCUGAGUGUGAGCAUACAUGUUGGGACCCGAAAGAUGGUGAACUAUGCCUGAAUAGGGUGAAGCCAGGGGAAACUCUGGUGGAGGCUCGUAGCGAUUCUGACGUGCAAAUCGAUCGUCAAAUUUGGGUAUAGGGGCGAAAGACUAAUCGAACCAUCUAGUAGCUGGUUCCCUCCGAAAUUUCCCUCAGGAUAGCUGCGAUCGGAGUUCAAUUUUAUCA